rnacentral:piRNA from 1 species
UGACAAUGAGCUUGUGUGUUGUUGGU